rnacentral:rRNA from 1 species
CCUACGGGAGGCAGCAGUGGGGAAUUUUGGACAAUGGGCGAAAGCCUGAUCCAGCAAUGCCGCGUGCAGGAUGAAGGCCCUCGGGUUGCAAACUGCUUUUGUACGGAACGAAAAGACUCUCUCUAAUAAAGAGGGUUGAUGACGGUACCGUAAGAAUAAGCACCGGCUAACUACGUGCCACCAGCCGCGGUAAUACGUAGGGUGCGAGCGUUAAUCGGAAUUACUGGGCGUAAAGCGUGCGCAGGCGGUUAUGUAAGACAGAGGUGAAAUCCCCGGGCUCAACCUGGGAGCGGCCUUUGUGACUGCAUGGCUAGAGUGCGGCAGAGGGGGAUGGAAUUUCGCGUGUAGCAGUGAAAUGCGUAGAUAUGCGGAGGAACACCGAUGGCGAAGGCAAUCCCCUGGGCCUGCACUGACGCUCAUGCACGAAAGCGUGGGGAGCAAACAGGAUUUGAUACCCCUGUAGUC